UGCCAUCAUCAGGAGUUUCUGAGUGUCAGGACACCAACCGAGCUAAAGCCAGCCACGGUGGUUUAGAAUGAGGGCAACCUGCCAAAAACAAAGGUUUCU
rnacentral:ncRNA from 1 species